rnacentral:rRNA from 1 species
ACACUGACGUCGCGACGCAUAUCAAUAAGCGGAGGAAAAGAAACUAACAAGGAUUCCCUUAGUAACGACGAGUGAAGCGGGAAGAGCUCAAAUUUGAAAUCUUCAAGGUUCUACCUUGACGAAUUGUAGUUUAAAGAAGUGUUUUCUGUUAGAUGAGUAGCAAAAGUUCCUUGGAAUGGGACAUCAUAGAGGGUGAGAAUCCCGUAUUUGGUUAUUCAUUCUAGCUUUGUGAUACACUUUCAAAGAGUCGGAUUGUUUGGGAAUGCAGUCCAAAAUGGGUGGUAAAUUUCAUCUAAAGCUAAAUAUUGGCGAGAGACCGAUAGCGAACAAGUACCGUGAGGGAAAGAUGAAAAGAACUUUGAAAAGAGAGUUAAACAGUACGUGAAAUUGUCAAAAGGGAAGCGUUUGACACCAGUGUUGUUUUUCCAAAAAUCAAUUACGAAUGGCUUGAUUUUGUGUUGUAUUGACCUUAUCAGCUUUCUGCACUUUUUUCGAGUCUUUCUUAAUGCACUUUUUGGUUAACAAGUCAACAUCAAUUUCUUUUGUUGUAAAAGAGUAUUCGGAAGGUGGCUUUCUUUUCGGAGAAAGUGUUUAUAGCCCUAUACUUCUACAAUCGGAGAGAUUGAGGUCUGCAGCGUAGAUCCUUCGGGGUUAGAUACAUUUGUGCUAAGUUGUAGCUUUUCAUAGACAACUUGUUGACUAUGUUUAGUCAUGCGGCUUACUCGCUUAUGCUAUUUUACCUACGCUUAGGAUGUUGAGUCGUAGAGCACGCAG